CGAGCGGCGGACGGCUGAGUAACACGUAGGAACGUACCCCAAAGUGAGGGAUAACUGCUCGAAAGAGUAGCUAAUACCGCAUGUGAUCUUCGGAUUAAAGCUCCGGCGCUUUGGGAACGGCCUGCGUAAGAUUAGCUUGUUGGUAAGGUAAUGGCUUACCAAGGCGACGAUCUUUAGCUGGUCUGAGAGGAUGAUCAGCCAGACUGGGACUGAGAACGGCCCAG
rnacentral:rRNA from 1 species